AAACUUGCUAAGACAUCCCAUAGUGGACUGAGCAAGGGGGGAGCUGAACAGAAGAACCUUGCUAAGACAUCCCAUAGUGGACUGAGCAAGGGGGAGCUGAACAGAAGAACCUUGCUAAGAUGUCCCAUAGUAGACUGAGCAAGAAAGAGCUGGUAUCACUGAGCCAGAGAUUACGGCUCUCCAGAAGAGGAGCAGGAUUGCUGUGUCCUGUGGGGAGAACAUCCCCCAUCACACCAGUGAAGUACAAGGCAGACAAGAUAUUCAAUGUAUGGUGCUUGUGAAGCCAGCGUGUCAGCAAAUGCAGCCCAGGAUACAGAAACCGAGUCCCGUGCCCUGCAGCCUGCACACCAGGUCUUGUCUGUCACAAUCAGACGCCCAUUCAUGCUUCCUCACCAAAACAAAGAUGGGUCCUAAUUAGAUGCUGAACCACCCGUGCAGAAGUUGGACCCCUCCAAUUUGAGUCCAUUGUUGUCUACAGUUCUCAAGAGAUGCCCGUGGCCUCCCCUUGGCACAGCUGGGGAAGAAGCAGGAACAGCGGCGAAGAGCUCUGGCUUGGCCCCAGACCGAGUUCAAAUCCCAGCCCCCUUCAGCUCUACUCGAUACAACCUGGGACAAGGCACUAAGCCUGAACACUUCCUCCUCGGCAAAAAGAGGUCAUGAAUUUACACUGUAGAGGUUUUGUGGUCAUUAAAUGAUCGAUGAAGACAAUUCACUUUCGGUAAAUGCCCAAUCAGUGUUAAGAAUUAUUAUAAGGCAAGAGAGAAAGAUGGGAAAGUAAGGGACAUGAGGAGCAGUGCUGGGCUGCGUCUCCGCACCUCUGCUGACAACCACGAGGUUCAGCUAUCUAUAAAAAGAAAGUACUCUAAGAAUUAUAUCACACCAUUGGGCAAGUGCCACAGGCUGACAAGUCUACAUACUUCACAACUGUCAAAACCAAAUCAGGUCUCAACUGAGAUCUUGGACUCCUGAAGUGUUUGCCAAGCCAGGCCGUGAUGGUGUACACCUUUAAUCCCAGCACAUGGGAGGCAGAGGCAGAAGGAUCUCUGUGAGUUCAAAGCCAGCCUGGUCUACAGAGUGAGUUCCAGGACAGCUAAAAGGUACAUAGAGAAACCCUGUCUUGGAAUAGACAGACAGACAGACAGACAGACAGACAGACAGACGAGUGUUUGUCAAAGCCUGCAAGCGCCCGCUGGAGCACAGUCCUGAGGAUGCCUCUGGCUUGUUGCUCACUUGCUGUACUGGACAUGCUGUCUGUUUUCCAGUCUCCACGUCUCAGCUCCGUCCUGGGGGGAAACACGCUCUUCCUGGGGCCGCUCUCAUACACUCCAAACUCCACUUUUCCAGGCAGCAGCUGCGAGUGCCGGAUUGGCACUGUGAUCUCCAGAUCUGGAACCAGAAGGAAGAAAGAGAUUCAGGCUGGCUGUCGUUGCUAGAUGUCUCUCGUGCUCACUGUCUACCUGCCUGCUGGGCCUGGGCCUGAAGGGGAGAGGGGAGACCCUGGAGUCUUACCCCACUUCAGCACUGAAAAGCCACAGAAUCCAGUGUGGCCCAGCAGAGGGGAGGGAUGGCAGAGCAUGAGAGAGAGGCAGAAGCAUUCUUCCACUUCAGAGAGCAGAAAGAGGAUGCGCUUAGGUCAGGCUUGGGCUCCCAGCCCCACCACUCAGGUGCUAUGCAGCCAACCUCUCUCAGUUAGACCCCUGUCUAAGGAGGGAAUGGUGAACGCCACUGAUGGUAAUAAACCACCCCGCGCACCCGCUCAUUGGAAAGGUUCCCGUGUGUUUACUUGAUUGAAUCCUCAUAAAACCCAAGAAACCUGCACUGGUACUGCACUCCCAGAAGAAAUGAAGGCACAGAAGAGUGAACCUGCCUCCCCAGUGCACAGCUGGAAGGACCGAUCUGAGAUGUGGACCCUGGCUCUGGAGUCCAGGCCCUUCCCCACUCCUACGGUCAAGAGCCUCUUGCUCCCUGAAUUUGUUACGGCUGACAGCUGAGGGGGUAUGGGAUGGGCAACCUGCCCUGACAGCAGUGGCCCAGAGAGUGUGGGACCAAAGCCCUCCAUGCUUAGAAAGACUGUGACUUCGGAGGCGGAUUCAUGGUAAAGGCACAGUCCUUACCCGGCUAGGGUCGACCUGACCCCUUCAAGGCUGGGUACAGCCAGUGGUUUGUCUUUAGCCCUCUUGAGAUGUCUACCCCAGGGUCCUGGAAGCAUAAAUACCUCACACUAGUGAGCAGAAUGAAAUGCCUGGUGUAUCACCAGCUUUCUCCCCAGGGGGGUGCGAGGCAGGUCGGAAGGGAAGCCAUGAGAGCAGGGGUAAAGAGGAGGCUGCCUUGGGACCGUGUGCUCGCUUCCGGGUACUGCCUCUCUUCACUCUGUUCUUCCACGGAACGAGUGUGGUAGGAAAGUCAGAGGUGACUCCCCGUGCCAAAGCCAGAGACCCGCCAAGAAAGCUAAUGAGUAAACUAGAACAGUACGAAAGAGCAGUGUGAGGGCAGGGGGCUGGACACAGUGAGCAGCCUGCAAAAGAACACCUGAAAUGUGUUUUACUGGCUUUCAUAGACCCCAGCCUUCCUCAUUCUAGAGAAACUGGUUCUAGGGGUAGGCCAGGGGCCUACUGAUAGCCAGCUCCUUCGUGGGACAGGGCGUGUUUUUCGGGCCCAGGCUCUUUGGUUACACUGCAAUUCUCACUGCCCUGAGCGCAGAACACAGCCAAGACAGGCUUUCAUGGGGUGAACCGUGAGUCUCGGAGCCCAUGUGGAUAUAUCAUUUCCUUCUUCCCUUCUCAGCUUUUAUUUACCUUUUUAAAAAGUCACUUUAAGUCUGACUAAUUAACUUUAAGGUGGUAUUUUCUACCACCCUCAACCAGUUCUUUUGAGAAGGAAAGUAAAAUACAUGGGAAGAAAAAGACCAGAAGUCAAAGGUUCAAAAAUGCAGGACCAGGCUAAAUGUUUUUAAGAUACCCCCGCUCUUUGCCCGAAGGAACGCUGUCAGGAUCAGUUUUCAUGAUUAUACCCAUCGCUUUCCUGAAGUGCAUUCAUCUGCAUUAUUGCUUCCCCUUGUGCUUUGGGAGUUUUCCAUUCAGUAGGUGAUUAUAAUCCUAUGGGGAAACUGAGUCACACACUGGGUAAAGGAAUGGUCCCAGAUACAGAAGUGAUUCAGCAAUAACACGAGGAGCCAAAUCCAGGUUUCCUGGGCCUCGGCUGGCUGGCUCUGCCUCCCAGGCCAUACCCAGAAUGCAAAUAUUGACUAUCUUCCCGCGGGGCCACAGCAUCCACCAAGUUCCACGUUUACAGCUGAUUUCCUGUGCCCAUCAACUGCAUGUACUACAAAGAACAAAGCCACUCCCUGGGGCCGAAGACUAGGAAAGGAGGACCCAUUUUUAAGGAUCCGAGGUCCUUGGUGUCCCAACCCCAAUUAAAGAAAAAUGAUAGUUAUUUUCUAAAGCAACUAGAGUUUCCACAUCUGAGUCAGCCUGGGUUUAGAGUGAGUUCCGUUCUUCGCAAAGGUCUCGCAGACGGACGUGCCACUCAUCAACCCCGAAGUUUUCGUUGGCCAGUGAGACGAAUGCCAAUAGUUCUCCACAGAGGUAUUUCCUCCAGUGGCGACAGAAGCUCAACACUGAGGACAGGUUUUCAAAAGGAGCAGUGAUGGUCAAGGUACUGGCCUCCACCCUGGGGGUCCUAAUCUACUUCUUCUCUCCCAACCCCACCCAGUUCUUAGCCUGGCCCCACAAGCACACACGGAGAGGCCCCGAGGCCCCUAACGAGCACAGUGGGAAAACCCACAGCCUCGGGCAUGGCAAGCCAGUAUGUAAAUUCAUAGUAGACGUUUACAGAGUUCAAUAAGUCAUAUCUACCCAGCCAUAAAUGACGCCUUCUCUUUGGCAGCUGCUCUGAUAUCUCCUGCCUCGUGCCGAAGGACAGGGUCCACCUUCCUACUACCCAGUGCCUGGUGUCCCUGGCCAGAACAAGGGACCAGAUCUUCUGGAACCGGAGUUACAAAUAAUUGUAAGCGAUCAUCUAAGUUCUGGAAACCACCUGGGUCCUGUGCAAGAACAGCAAGUGUUCUUUACCCCUGAGCCACCUCUCCACCUUUGCUCUUCAUAUUUUAUCACAAUAAAAAUGAAAAGCCUUCCACCAGAAACCCCAGCAGUGGCGCCAGCCGUGAGCAGGGCAGCCAUCCUCGGGCAGAGGUGCCAGAGGGCACCUCUCAGGACACUAACAAUAGCGGCCCUCUCGAACACUCUUUUGAAACCAAGAAGCUCAAUGGCAAGGCCCUGGGCAAGGCCCUGAGCAGCCGGGCUGAGGAACCGCCCUCGCCUGUCCCCAAGGCCUCUGGUUCCACUCUCCACAGUGCGUCUGGCAACUGUUCCAGGACCCAGUCUGAUGACAGUGAGGACAGGAGCCUUGACACCCUCUGUGCCAACCACAACAAUGGACACCUGCACCCCCGGCCCCCUCACCCCCACAACAAUGGCCAGAACUCUGGGGAGCUGGAGACAGUAGUCUGCUCUUCCCCGGGACACCCAGACACUGACCAUGAUAACCCACCCUUGACAGGGAUGCUUCUGCACAAAGAUUGUUGUGGGUCUGAAAUGGCCUGUGAGACCCCCAGUGCUGGAGCGAGAGAAGACCCCUCGGACCCCUCGGCCAUGGACAGCAGCAAGGUUGUUCAUAGCCACAGUGGCCUCAAAAGGCACCGAAUUGAAUUGGAAGACACAGAUUCAGAGAAUUCCUCCUCAGAGAAGAAACUAAAAACAUGAUAAAUACAAAGGGAAAACAAAAAGCUACAGAAAGUAGCCUUACAAAGUAAUUUUUUCUUGUUUAGUGAACACAGAGGAAAGGAAAAAGUAUUCAAGGCGCAUAAAAAAAAUAAAAAAAAGAAAAGAAAAGAAAAGCAAGGCUACUCUUGGGUUGAUAGGUGGUACACUCUCCCCCAGAGGGACUGCUUGCCAUCCUGAGCCAUUCCUCUGUGUCUGUUUGAGCUGGACCUGGAAUGUCCCCUAAAGGCUCAUGUGCUAAGGGACUGGUCCCGCCACGGUGCUACUGUGAGGUGGUGGAAGCUUUAAAAGGCAGAGCCAAGGAGAGGUCUUUCGAUUAUAGGAGGUGGCCCUUGAAGGGGUCAGUGAGACCCCAGCCCGUGAGACCCCUUGUUGUUUCUUUUCUCGGAUGGGAGACAAUUUCGUGUUACCAUGUUCUCUGCAUGUGCAACCUCAUCCCAGGCUACAACGGAACAGGGCAACCAAUCAUAGACUCAAAGCCAUAAAACCGUAAGCCAAAAUAA